rnacentral:rRNA from 1 species
AUACGUAGGUGGCAAGCGUUGUCCGGAAUUACUGGGUGUAAAGGGCGUGUAGGCGGGAAAGCAAGUCAGAUGUGAAAGCCCAUGGCUUAACUGUGGAACUGCAUCUGAAACUGUUUUUCUUGAGUACUGGAGAGGAAAGUGGAAUUCCUAGUGUAGCGGUGAAAUGCGUAGAGAUUAGGAGGAACACCAGUGGCGAAGGCGGCUUUCUGGACAGUAACUGACGCUGAGGCGCGAAAACGUGGGGAGCAAACAGGAUUAGAUACCCUGGUAGUCCACGCUGUAAACGAUGGAUACUAGGUGUGGGAGGUAUCGACCCCUUCCGUGCCGGAGUUAACACAAUAAGUAUCCCACCUGGGGAGUACGGCCGCAAGGUUGAA